rnacentral:rRNA from 1 species
GAUGAACGCUGGCGGCGUGCCUAAUACAUGCAAGUCGAGCGAACGGACGAGAAGCUUGCUUUUCUGAUGUUAGCGGCGGACGGGUGAGUAACACGUGGAUAACCUACCUAUAAGACUGGGAUAACUUCGGGAAACCGGAGCUAAUACCGGAUAAUAUUUUGAGCCGCAUGGUUCAAAAGUGAAAGACGGUCUUGCUGUCACUUAUAGAUGGAUCCGCGCUGCAUUAGCUAGUUGGUAAGGUAACGGCUUACCAAGGCAACGAUGCAUAGCCGACCUGAGAGGGUGAUCGGCCACACUGGAACUGAGACACGGUCCAGACUCCUACGGGAGGCAGCAGUAGGGAAUCUUCCGCAAUGGGCGAAAGCCUGACGGAGCAACGCCGCGUGAGUGAUGAAGGUCUUCGGAUCGUAAAACUCUGUUAUUAGGGAAGAACAUAUGUGUAAGUAACUAUGCACAUCUUGACGGUACCUAAUCAGAAAGCCACGGCUAACUACGUG